rnacentral:lncRNA from 1 species
AUCCAUGUGUUCCUAGUCUUCUUCGUUCAACAAUAAGUUAAAAAGGUCAAAGGGGCAUACAGUAAGACACCGUAACACGGUAUCAACCGGACUGCAAUUUUAGGUCUGAGAGUUUUUGGUUUUGUUUUGUCAAUUUUCAGAACAAAAAAAGAAAGAAAAAGAAAGUCGAGGAUUGGUUUGGUUGACGAAGUCCUCUCCCCAACCAGCCCAAGAACGCCUAGCUUUGCAGUACGCAUACGCUUACGGCGUAUCCUAGAUUUCGUCAACUCCAAACUUUCGCCCUCCUUCCUUAAAAAGCAUUUAAUUUAAUUUUAAAAACAACACCAACACCAACUAAUGAGGAUAAUUUUUAAUUUUAAAAACAACACCAACACCAACUAAUGAGGAUAAUUAAUAACUAAUCCCAUACUUACCUUAACAAUUAAAAAUAAAAAAAAUAAGCAGCAGAAGGUCAUCUC